rnacentral:rRNA from 1 species
CCCUUAGAUGUUCUGGGCCGCACGCGUGCUACACUGAGUGGAUCAGCGGGUCAGGUUGCGCGAAAGUGUUUCCUAAUCUUUAAAUCCGCUCGUGAUGGGGAUUGACGGUUGCAAUUUUCCGUCAUGAACGAGGAAUACCUUGUAAGCGCGGGUCAUCAUCCCGCGCUGAAUACGUCCCUGCCCUUUGUACACACCGCCCGUCGCUCCUACCGAUUGAAUGGUCCGGUGAAAUCUUCGGAUUGCUGACCAAGAUCCAGCAAUGGAGCUUGGUUGCGAGAAGUUGAUUAAACCUUAUUAUUUAGAGGAAGGAGAAGUCGUAACA